GACGAACGCUGGCGGCGUGCCUAAUACAUGCAAGUAGAACGCUGAAGGAGGAGCUUGCUUCUCUGGAUGAGUUGCGAACGGGUGAGUAACGCGUAGGUAACCUGCCUGGUAGCGGGGGAUAACUAUUGGAAACGAUAGCUAAUACCGCAUAAUAGCAGUUGUUGCAUGAUAACUGUUUGAAGGGUGCAAUUGCACCACUACCAGAUGGACCUGCGUUGUAUUAGCUAGUUGGUGGGGUAACGGCUCACCAAGGCGACGAUACAUAGCCGACCUGAGAGGGUGAUCGGCCACACUGGGACUGAGACACGGCCCAGACUCCUACGGGAGGCAGCAGUAGGGAAUCUUCGGCAAUGGACGGAAGUCUGACCGAGCAACGCCGCGUGAGUGAAGAAGGUUGUCGGAUCGUAAAGCUCUGUUGUAAGAGAAGAACGAGUGUGAGAGUGGAAAGUUCACACUGUGACGGUAUCUUACCAGAAAGGGACGGCUAACUACGUG
rnacentral:rRNA from 1 species